GUACUACUCCCUCCGUUGGAAAAUACUUGUCAUUGAAAUGAAUGUAUCUAGAUGUAUUAUAGUUUUAGAUAUAUUCAUUUUCAUCUAUUUUGAUGACAAGUAUUUUCAGAUCGGAGGGAGUGCUAA
rfam:Triticum aestivum genome assembly, contig: Triticum_aestivum_CS42_TGACv1_scaffold_145916_2BS